rnacentral:rRNA from 1 species
CCCGGCACAAGCGGUGGAGCAUGUGGUUUAAUUCGACGCAACGCGAAGAACCUUACCAAGCCUUGACAUGUCCGGACAGGCCUCAGAAAAGGGGUCCUCCUAGCAAUAGGUCGGAACACAGGUGCUGCAUGGCUGUCGUCAGCUCGUGUCGUGAGAUGUUGGGUUAAGUCCCGCAACGAGCGCAACCCUCGCCAUUAGUUGCCAUCAUUCAGUUGGGCACUCUAGUGGGACUGCCGGUGAUAAGCCGGAGGAAGGUGGGAUGACGUCAAGUCAUCAUGGCCCUUACGGUUUGGGCUACACACGUGCUACAAUGGCGGUGACAGUGGGCAGCCGCUCAGUAAUGAGGAGCUAAUCCCAAAAAGCCGUCUCAGUUCGGAUUGAGCUCUGCAACUCGAGCUCAUGAAGUCGGAAUCGCUAGUAAUCGCGGAUCAGCACGCCGCGGUGAAUACGUUCCCGGGCCCU